AACUGAGGGACUGGUCCACCUGUAACAGCUGGUAACUCACCAGCCCAAAAGGUGUAGGGUUCCUUAAGCCAGGGUCUCGCUCGGAUCUUGUAUCUUCACAUCGCCUCUAAGUAGUAACUCUGUUAACGGCUGUUUGUUCAGAAAGUUGGAAAUACAAAACGAAGGAGUCAGCGGGGCUGCAUUCCUUCUGAAGACCUGAGGAGAAUCCUUUUGAUGAAUGCUAGCUAUAUGCAAAAUCUUGGAUUUGCGUAUGACUUCAAGAACAUCUACCAGCACUGUAUGAGAGAGAAAAAGCCAGCCUCCUCAAAUAACUUGGCUUAAACAAGCUAUUUAUCAUACUUACAGAACAAAAGGUCAGCAGUCAUUGUUUCAGUCAGCUGAGGAGAUUUAGUCUACAGGCACAAACAUCCCCCUGGACUCAGAAGCUCAAAAUAAUGAAGGGGAAAGAAGUCUCUGGGAAACUUGAUUUUUCCAUAUUCUAUAACUCAAGUAUGUGCUGUCUUCAGAGAUAAGGCCUCACUGUUAAGUUCUGAAGAGUUACUGAGAGAAGUGACAAUGGCUCAUAAUAUUUAGAGGUUUGGGAGACCUCCCUGCUCAGCAGCUCCAAAAGAAGUAACCCAUCCUGGACUGGGGGGGUUUUAUUUAUAAGGGUUUCCUGUAUUUUAGUGACUAAAAUCUAAGUUGCAUGGCAAAAGCUGAUGUCAUGGGCAGGAAUGACACUUGUUCCACAUGGAAAAACACUAAAUAUGUUCAACAAUAAUCUAAUAUAACCUGUCACUCUCCUAUUAUAACACUACCUUUUACAUUAUUCUCUUUGCUACAUAAAAUAUUCUCUACUCAUAAAACUAAAAAAAUGGGAGUGAACAAAUAUCUAAUAAACAUUUGAAGAGUGACAAAUGAUAUAUCUAUAUGAUUGAAUAUUCACCAAUACAAAUAAAUCAAGUAUUGAUGCACAGU
rnacentral:lncRNA from 1 species